rnacentral:misc_RNA from 1 species
AAGAAUUAAAGAGUGCACUUCAUUGUGGGCUCGACAUUUUCUACCAUUCAACCCUAGUGCCACCGUAAUACCUUUUUUUUAUUAGACUCUACAAAGUUAAUGAAUGUAGCACUUUUUUAUAAAGAAAUAA